AGUGAACGCUGGCGGUAGGCCUAACACAUGCAAGUCGAACGGCAGCACAGUAAGAGCUUGCUCUUACGGGUGGCGAGUGGCGGACGGGUGAGGAAUACAUCGGAAUCUACUUUUUCGUGGGGGAUAACGUAGGGAAACUUACGCUAAUACCGCAUACGACCUACGGGUGAAAGCAGGGGAUCUUCGGACCUUGCGCGAUUGAAUGAGCCGAUGUCGGAUUAGCUAGUUGGCGGGGUAAAGGCCCACCAAGGCGACGAUCCGUAGCUGGUCUGAGAGGAUGAUCAGCCACACUGGAACUUGGACACGGUCCAGACUCCUACGAGAGGCAGCAGUGGGGAAUAUUGGACAAUGGGCGCAAGCCUGAUCCAGCCAUACCGCGUGGGUGAAGAAGGCCUUCGGGUUGUAAAGCCCUUUUGUUGGGAAAGAAAAGCAGCAGGCUAAUACCCCGCUGUUCUGACGGUACCCAAAGAAUAAGCACCGGCUAACUUCGUG
rnacentral:rRNA from 1 species